GGGAAAUAAGUUGUCCUUUUCAAGCCUUCUCCUGCCUGUUGCUUCUGAGAGGCUCCAAAUUUCCACUGUUCCUCAUGGGCCGAGAAUCAGGCAACUCUUUGAACAUGCAGGAUACUCUCCAUGAGGCUGUAUAAUACAACACUCAUCAGUCACGCUGCUGGAAGCAGCAGGUCUGCCUUUAAAAUACAGGCUUCUAAAUUGUGAGCAAUACAGGUAAUGUAGUAAUAAUACUGAGAGCUUGUUAUUUGCUCUAAAUUCUCAAUCACAGCUGCCAUAUGUCUUGAAAAAUUCAUUCUAGCUGAGUCUGGGUUAUGUGAUAAAGGACACAUCUGGAGCUGAGUCAGAGGCUCAUUUACUCUUUAACUGUGGCAGAGGGAGCCCCAUAAUGAAAGCGGUGACUGUGACUGCUCCCCUAGAGAAGUGCCAAUGUUAUUGUACUCACUGUAAAUUCAUGGGAAGGAAACUUCACAGGCUUUUUUUUCUUUUCUUUUGAGAAGUUCAGGCACAUUUGAACCAAGACAUUCCUGCUUCUCUCAGCUGCCAGGUCCUAAGCAGUGUUUUUGUUGUACUUGAUAUCAAAUACCUAGUGAAUAAUCAAAUUCCCUGCUCUGGUACAGCUGUGUCGUUAGGUAAAAGCAAGAAUUACUGAACUUCACCCUUGUCAGACAGCAUUUUUGCUCUUUGGCUGCAGAAGGCAGGUCUCUGCAGUGUGCACACAGCUGGACCAGCUCCCCACGUCCUUUCAUAGAAUCAUAGAAUCGCAGAAUCACCAAGGUUGGAAAAGACCCACAGGAUCACCCAGUCCAACCAUCCACCCAUCACCAACGGUUCUCACUAAACCAUGUCCCUCAACACAACGUCCAAACAUUCCUUGAACACCUCCAGGGUCGGUGACUCCACCACCUCUCUGGGCAGCCCAUUCCAGUGCCUGACCACCCUUUCAGAGAAACAGUAUUUCUUAACAUCCAGCCUGAACCUUCCCUGGCGCAGCUUGAAGCCAUUCCCUCUAGUCCUAUCACUAGUUACAUGAGAGAAGAGGCCGACCCCCAGCUCACUACAACCUCCCUUCAGGUAGUUAUAGAGAGCAAUAAGGUCUCCCCUGAGCCUCCUCUUCUCCAGACUGAACAAUCCCAGCUCCUUCAGCCGCUCCUCAUAAGGCCUGUGCUCCAGACCCCUCACAGCUUUGUUGCCCUUCUCUGGACAGGCUCCAGGCCUCCAUGUCUUUCCUGAAGUAAGGGGCCCAAAACUGGACACAGUACUGGAGGUGCGGCCUCACCAGUGCUGAGUACAGAGGGACAAUUACUUCCCUGUUCCUGCUGGCAACACUGUUUCUGAUGCAAGCCAGGAUGCCAUUGGCCCUCUUGGCCACCUGGGCACAGGGCUGGCUCACAUUCAGUAGAACAUCAGUCAAUACCCUCAGGUCCAUUUCCACUACACAGUUUUCCAGCCACUCUGCCCCAAGCCUGUAGUGUUGCCUGGGGUUGUUGUGGUCCUGCACAGCUCCCCUGAGCAGUGACUCCACACACAUUGCCAGCAGCAGGGAGCACCCAACCAGGGGCCAUAGGCUGCUAUG
ensembl:lncRNA